CCUCUCUCCGGACCAGGGAGGGGAACUGAGUUACAGACCACGUUUUUCUGCUGAAUUGCUGUGCCAGCCUGAAGAAAUAUCAAGAGCUACUGCUGCCUGUUUUAGUGAACCUGAUAGUCUUUGCUCUCAGCUCUUGGUUGUUUUCAUUCUGCACACAAGAGAAGUGAUCCUCUUGCCUCAGUGAUUCUGCUGCCAUGCAAGAUCUGAAGAGGCUGCGUUUUUAAUUUGCCGUGAAGCAAAGAUGAAGAUUGAGGAUGAAAAGGGUUUCUUUUAUAUGUUUGGAGACUGAGAUUUAAACAGAAAGGCCUUCCUGUCUUGUGAAAAGGCAGCAGUGCCUGCUUUCAGUAGGCAAAGGAGCAGCAAAUUGCUCUUCAGUUUAAUUUUUAUUUAAAAUUACAGAAAUUAACAGACUUUAUCAAGCACAUGGCAGCCUGCCUCUUGCCAUGCUAGAUAAAAUGGGUGGUUAACUAUGAAAAUAAAUACGAAAGGAACUGGGACCAGAUCCAGUAAACUACUCAGAAUGGAUCUGCAGAGACUGGGGCAUGACAAGGCUGAGGCUGCUUAAUGCACUCUGUUGGAAGGGAGAGCUGCAUGUGGUUCCAUGCUCACCCACCUCAGAAUGAGAUACAGACUCAUCACCCUGAGCACACCUACCUCAGUGUGAGAUGCAAGCUCAUCACCCUGAGCAUACCUACCUCAGAA